AGUGGCGGACGGGUGAGUAACGCGUGAGAAUCUGCCUUGGGGUCGGGGACAACCACUGGAAACGGUGGCUAAUACCGGAUAAGCCGAUUGGUGAAAGAUUUAUUGCCCGAAGAGGAGCUCGCGUCUGAUUAGCUAGUUGUGAGGUAAGAGCUCACCAAGGCAGCGAUCAGUAGCUGGUCUGAGAGGACGAUCAGCCACACUGGGACUGAGACACGGCCCAGACUCCUACGGGAGGCAGCAGUGGGGAAUUUUCCGCAAUGGGCGAAAGCCUGACGGAGCAAGACCGCGUGAGGGAGGAAGGCUCUUGGGUUGUAAACCUCUUUUCUCAGGGAAGAAGCUCUGACGGUACCUGAGGAAUCAGCCUCGGCUAACUCCGUGCCAGCAGCCGCGGUAAUACGGAGGAGGCAAGCGUUAUCCGGAAUUAUUGGGCGUAAAGCGUCCGCAGGUGGCAAUUCAAGUCUGCUGUCAAAGCACGGGGCUUAACUCCGUAAAGGCAGUGGAAACUGAAUAGCUAGAGUGCCGUAGGGGUAGAGGGAAUUCCCGGUGUAGCGGUGAAAUGCGUAGAGAUCGGGAAGAACAUCGGUGGCGAAAGCGCUCUACUGGACGGCAACUGACACUCAGGGACGAAAGCUAGGGGAGCGAAUGGGAUUAGAUACCCC
rnacentral:rRNA from 1 species